CGCCACGCCAGCGAGAGGAGGUGUGGAGGUAUUGCUCCGUCGCCUCGCCCUGCCCAAACAAAAGCGGAGAGCAUAUACUAAUAAUUUUAUAACAAUGAAUCAGGGAAGAACAAAAGUAAAUUGAUGCAAGAGGAAGAGACAAAAUAUUGAUAGCUUGAGAAUAAUGCAAAUAAAAAAAGAAAGGAAUGAAAAACGAGAAACAUUGAACUGAAAAAGACAGAUACAACGAAACAGAGAGAGAGAGAGAGAGAGAGAGAGAGAGAGAGAGAGAGAGAGAGAGAGAGAGAGAGAAUAAUUGACGUGCAGAAUUACUGAAACAAAACGAAAUAAUUGAGUUAGGAAAAUGCAACGAAUGUGAUAGAAACGAAAAAAAAGAAAAGAGAAAGAAAAAAACGAGAAAAAUGACAAAAAUGACAAACUUGUAAAGAAAUAUAUGAAAAAAAUGAAUAAAAAAAUGAAAGUAUUCACCAAAAAAAUGAGUAAAAAAUAAAAGUAAAUAGAAAAAGAAAAAAAGAAAGGAAUAAAUACGGAAAAUAAAGGAAAUGUGAAAUAAAUAUGUGUGAAUGAAGAAAUUUUAAGGAACGUAAACAAAAAAAAACUAUAAACUAAAAAAAAAGAAACAAACAAAACGAAAAAAAGAGAAAGUGAAAGAAAGAAACAAAUAAAGAUAAAAAAUAUACAAAAAAAGGGAAAGAAAAACACGCACAGUAGAAAAAUGAAGAUGAAAAACAAGAAAGUGAGAAAGAAAAGAUAAAAAAAGACGGAAGAGAGAGAGAGAGAGAGAGAGAGAGAGAGAGAGAGAGAGAGAGAGAGAGAGAGAGAGAGAG